AGAAUCUAACGCUGGCGGCGUGCCUCAGACAUGCAAGUCGAACGCGAAAGUCCCCUUCGGGGAACAAGUAGAGUGGCGCACGGGUGAGUAACACGUAGGUAAUCUACCUUCGGAUGGGGAAUAACAACCGGAAACGGUUGCUAAUACCGCAUAAUGCAGCGGCACCUAAUGGUGACAGUUGUUAAAGCGGGGGAUCGAAAGACCUCGCGUCUGAAGAGGAGCCUGCGGCGGAUUAGCUAGUUGGUAGGGUAACGGCCUACCAAGGCGACGAUCCGUA
rnacentral:rRNA from 1 species